CGGGUGCACUGAUCCAGCCGGGCCUUUCCCUCUGUGGAACCCCAUGGCCUUCACUGGCUGUGGUGGGGAAACAGGACUUUUACUUUGAAAAAAUUAGAGUGCUCCAGGCAGGCCUAUGCUCGAAUACAUUAGCAUGGAAUAAUAGAAUAGGACGUGUGGUUCUAUUUUGUUGGUUUCUAGGACCGCCGUAAUGAUUAAUAGGGACAGUCGGGGGCAUCAGUAUUCAAUUGUCAGAGGUGAAAUUCUUGGAUCUAUUGAAGACUAACUACUGCGAAAGCAUUUGCCAAGGAUGUUUUCAUUGAUAAGGAACGAAAGUUAGGGGAUCGAAGACGAUCAGAUACCGUCGUAGUCUUAACUAUAAACUAUGCCGACUAGGGAUCGGACGAUGUUAUUUCUUGACGCGUUCGGCACCUUUCGAGAAAUCAAAGUGCUUGGGCUCCAGGGGGAGUAUGGUCGCAAGGCUGAAACUUAAAGAAAUUGACGGAAGGGCACCACCAGGGGUGGAACCUGCGGCUUAAUUUGACUCAACACGGGGAAACUCACCAGGUCCAGACACAGUGAGGAUUGACAGAUUGAGAGCUCUUUCUUGAUUCUGUGGGUGGUGGUGCAUGGCCGUUCUUAGUUGGUGGAGUGAUUUGUCUGCUUAAUUGCGAUAACGAACGAGACCUUAACCUGCUAAAUAGCCCGUACUGCUCUGGCAGUUCGCCGGCUUCUUAGAGGGACUAUCGG
rnacentral:rRNA from 1 species